rnacentral:rRNA from 1 species
AACGAACGCUGGCGGCAUGCCUAACACAUGCAAGUCGAACGAGACCUUCGGGUCUAGUGGCGCACGGGUGCGUAACGCGUGGGAAUCUGCCCUUGGGUUCGGAAUAACAGUUGGAAACGACUGCUAAUACCGGAUGAUGACGUAAGUCCAAAGAUUUAUCGCCCAAGGAUGAGCCCGCGUAGGAUUAGCUAGUUGGUGAGGUAAAGGCUCACCAAGGCGACGAUCCUUAGCUGGUCUGAGAGGAUGAUCAGCCACACUGGGACUGAGACACGGCCCAGACUCCUACGGGAGGGAGGAGGGGGGGAAAUUGGACAAUGGGCGAAAGCCUGAUCCAGCAAUGCCGCGUGAGUGAUGAAGGCCUUAGGGUUGUAAAGCUCUUUUACCCGGGAUGAUAAUGACAGUACCGGGAGAAUAAGCUCCGGCUAACUCCGUG